GGCGGGCGGGGUGGCGGCGUGCUCGAAAAUGUUAAAGUUCUUAUUUCAUGGUAUAACUUUGGUAUGCUUGGACCUAGAGUCUUCAAACUUGACAUGAAGGUUGGCCAGGAUUAACAGAUGACCACUGGUCAUUUCAAGGUCAUUCAUUUGAAGGUCAAGGUCACUGUGACCUUCAAUAUAAAAAAUGUUAAAGUUGUUAUAACUUUGGUAUGCUUGGACCUAGAGUCUUGAAACUUGACAUGAAGGUUGGCCAUAACUAGUUAGUAACCACUGGUCAUUUCAAGGUCAUUCAUUUGAAGGUCAAGGUCACUGUGACCUUGAAUGUAAAAAUGUUAAAGUUCUUAUUUCAUGGUAUAACUUUGGUAUGCUUGGACCUAGAGUCUUCAAACUUGACAUGAAGGUUGGCCAGGAUUAACAGAUGACCACUGGUCAUUUCAAGGUCAUUCAUUUGAAGGUGAAGGUCACUGUGACCUUCAAUAUAAAAAUGUUAAAGUUGUUAUAACUUUGGUAUGCUUGGACCUAGAGUCUUGAAACUUGACAUGAAGGUUGGCCAGAACUAGUAAGUAACCACUGGACAUUUCAAGGUCAUUCAUUUGAAGGUCAAGGUCACUGUGACCUUGAAUGUAAAAAUGUUAAAGUUGUUAUAACUUUGGUAUGCUUGGACCUAGAGUCUUGAAACUUGACAUGAAGGUUGGCCAGAACUAGUAAGUAACCACUGGACAUUUCAAGGUCAUUCAUUUGAAGGUCAAGGUCACUGUGACCUUGAAUGUAAAAAUGUUAAAGUUCUUAUUUCAUGUUAUAACUUUGGUAUGCUUGUACCUAGAGUCUUCAAACUUGAAAUAAAGAUUGGCCAGUACUAGAAGAUGACCACUGGUCAUUUCAAUGUCAUUCAUUUGAAGGUCAAGGUCACUGUGACCUUAAAUGUUAAAAUGUUAAAAUUGUUAUAACUUUGGUAUGCUUGGACAUAGAGUCUUCAAACUUGACAUGAAGGUUUGCAAGCACACUAAGAUGACCACUGGUCAUUUCAAGGUCAUUCAUUUCAAUGUCAUUCAUUUGAAGGUCAAGGUCACUGUGAACUUAAAUGUUAAAAUGUUAAAAUUGUUGUAACUUUGGUAUGCUUGGACCUAGAAUCUCAAACUUGACGUAAAGGUUUGCAAGCACACUUAGAUGACCACUGGUCAUUUCAAGGUCAUUCAUUUGAAGGUCGAGGUCACUGUGACCUUGGAUGUAAAUAUGUUAAAGUUGUUAAUACUUUGGUAUGCUUAGACCUAGAGUCUUCAAACUUGAUAUGAAGGUUGGCCAGAACUAGUAGAUGACCACUGGUCAUUUUAAGGUCAAGGUCACCGUGACCUUGAAUGUAAAAAUGUUAAAA